CCUACGGGAGGCAGCAGUGAGGAAUAUUGGUCAAUGGGCGGAAGCCUGAACCAGCCAAGUAGCGUGCAGGAUGACGGCCCUACGGGUUGUAAACUGCUUUUAUACGGGAAUAACGCGCCUUACGUGUAGGGCUUUGCAUGUACCGUAUGAAUAAGGACCGGCUAAUUCCGUGACAGCAGCCGCGGUAAUACGGAAGGUCCGGGCGUUAUCCGGAUUUAUUGGGGUUAAAGGGAGCGUAGGCCGCAUGUCAAGCGUGCUGUGAAAUGUGCGGGCUCAAUCCGGGCCUUGCAGCGCGAACUGGCGUGCUUGAGUCCGCGGAAGGCAGGCGGAAUUCGUCGUGUAGCGGUGAAAUGCUUAGAUAUGACGAAGAACCCCGAUUGCGAAGGCAGCUUGCUGCAGCGGAACUGACGCUGAUGCUCGAAAGCGCGGGUAUCGAACAGGAUUAGAUACCCUAGUAGUC
rnacentral:rRNA from 1 species